AUUGAACGCUGGCGGCAGGCCUAACACAUGCAAGUCGAGCGAGAGGCGGACGGGGGAGUAAUGUCUGGGAAACUGCCUGAGGGGGGGGGGGAACUACUGGAAACGGGAGCUAAUACAGCAUACCAUCAGGGGUGCCCAGAUGGGGUUAGCUAGUAGAUGGGGUAACGGCUCACCUAGGCGACGAUCCCUAGCUGGUCUGAGAGGAUGACCAGCCACACUGGAACUGAGACACGGUCCAGACUCCUACGGGAGGCAGCAGUGGGGAAUAUUGCACAAUGGGCGCAAGCCUGAUGCAGCCAUGCCGCGUGUGUGAAGAAGGCCUUCGGGUUGUAAAGUACUUUCAGCGGGGAGGCGUUACCCGCAGAAGAAGCACCGGCUAACUCCGUGCCAGCAGCCGCGGUAAUAC
rnacentral:rRNA from 1 species